CUCAGUGAAAUUGAACUCGCUGUGAAGAUGCAGUGUACCCGCGGCAAGACGGAAAGACCCCGUGAACCUUUACUAUAGCUUGACACUGAACAUUGAGCCUUGAUGUGUAGGAUAGGUGGGAGGCUUUGAAGUGUGGACGCCAGUCUGCAUGGAGCCGACCUUGAAAUACCACCCUUUAAUGUUUGAUGUUCUAACGUGGACCCGUGAUCCGGGUUGCGGACAGUGUCUGGUGGGUAGUUUGACUGGGGCGGUCUCCUCCUAAAGAGUAACGGAGGAGCACGAAGGUUGGCUAAUCCUGGUCGGACAUCAGGAGGUUAGUGCAAUGGCAUAAGCCAGCUUGACUGCGAGCGUGACGGCGCGAGCAGGUGCGAAAGCAGGUCAUAGUGAUCCGGUGGUUCUGAAUGGAAGGGCCAUCGCUCAACGGAUAAAAGGUACUCCGGGGAUAACAGGCUGAUACCGCCCAAGAGUUCAUAUCGACGGCGGUGUUUGGCACCUCGAUGUCGGCUCAUCACAUCCUGGGGCUGAAGUAGGUCCCAAGGGUAUGGCUGUUCGCCAUUUAAAGUGGUACGCGAGCUGGGUUUAGAACGUCGUGAGACAGUUCGGUCCCUAUCUGCCGUGGGCGCUGGAGAACUGAGGGGGGCUGCUCCUAGUACGAGAGGACCGGAGUGGACGCAUCACUGGUGUUCGGGUUGUCAUGCCAAUGGCACUGCCCGGUAGCUAAAUGCGGAAGAGAUAAGUGCUGAAAGCAUCUAAGCACGAAACUUGCCCCGAGAUGAGUUCUCCCUGAGACUUUAAGUCUCCUGAAGGAACGUUGAAGACGACGACGUUGAUAGGCCGGGUGUGUAAGCGCAGCGAUGCGUUGAGCUAACCGGUACUAAUGAACCGUGAGGCUUAACCUU
rnacentral:rRNA from 1 species